UGGACAGGGAGGCAGACUCACUGUGCUGGCAGGAGGAGCGAGGCAACCGAGAUUUGAUUCUUCCAGGGAUUGACUCCAAACAAAGGAAGACGAGGCCAAAAAGUGUCCGGGAUGGCCGACCCUCAUGUCCCGAGCAGCCGAGCAGAAUGACCUCGGCCAGCCAUCUGGUUUGGGACGCAGCAGUAUGCUGCCGUAAAACACCUGAUCCCUUAUCCAUUGAAGAUGUGUGUCAUCAAAAGCACGUAGCGAUAAUUGACUGUGGGUUCAAGCUAUGGAGGAACUAUACAGAAAACACAGAUCACUGAAGAUAUCACCACCAUAGCAUUUCUUUAUAGCAAAUUAUCUGUAAUGUAUGUACAGUUUAUGGAUGCAUUAAUGUCUCAAAUAUGUGAAAGAUACAUUUUACUUUUUUUUUUUUACAUUACAACCAUGUGUUUAUUCCAUGUCACACAAGUUAACCAUUAUUAUAUAUUUGUAUACUGUCAUAUAACAAUACAUAUCAACAAUACUAUAUUAUAUUUUGUAUUAAUCAUUAAAUCAUUUUAAUAUGUCAGUUAUUUUUUAGUUAUAUAUUCGGUAAAGUCAUUAUACAUGUGUAGGUUUUCUGAAAUAAACGUUAUAAUAGAAUAGCAUUCAACUAUUUGAGUUGUGAUAAGAAUUGGUGUGUGAUGUUGAUGCAGUUGUUUUCUAUUAAGUGACAAUUCAAAAGUUUGAAAUACAAUUAUUAAGGAUGAGGUUGUUUCACUUGAGUGUGAUUUUUUUCAUCUAUUUGUUAGUGUUUAUUUAUUAAAAAUUUCUCCUGUCACCCCCUAAUUGGAACAGUGGUAACCCACAAACACAGGACUGAAAAGCUUCCAGUUUUCUUGAAAAUUUCCUAAAGAAUUUGACAUUUUUUUAUCAUAGCAAUUAAGGCAACAUUUCUCAUAAAAAGUUCAACAAAUCCUGAUAAAAAAUGUGAUCCUUCAGGGGCUGAAGACCAACCAUGGUCAGUGGCCCCCACAGUGGUUUGGUUUCUGCAGGUGUGGCUUUGAUCUAAGUGUCAAUGUUUGCAGAUUGAUGUAAUAAAGUAGGUUAAACUGCUUUAUUCAAAACUCUGUCAUCCUGGUUACGAACUAAAUAUCUAAAAUUCCCCAUAACUCCCAAAGCAAAAGAAAUCCA